rnacentral:snoRNA from 1 species
AUUUCUCACUAUGAUGGACUAGAACCUAGAAGUAAGACUAAAAUAGGGGAGGUGUGCUACAUUGAAUGCGUGGCAGGAUUUUUGCUAACACCAAUAGAGCUUGCCUCGAUGACUGGAGUUGAUAGUGGUCACUGGCACAUAC